rnacentral:rRNA from 1 species
AACGUAGGAGGCGAGCGUUAUCCGGAUUUACUGGGCGUAAAGCGCGUGCAGGCGGUCCUGCAAGUCAUGCGUGAAAGCUCCCUGGCUCAACCGGGAGAGGUCGUGUGAAACUGCGGGACUUGAGGCAGAGAGAGGCGAGUGGAAUUCCGGGUGUAGUGGUGAAAUGCGUAGAUAUCCGGAGGAACACCAGUGGCGAAGGCGGCUCGCUGGCUCUGUACUGACGAUCAGACGCGAAAGCAUGGGGAGCGAACGGG